GACGAACGCUGGCGGCGUGCUUAACACAUGCAAGUCGAGCGGAAAGGCCACUUCGGUGGUACUCGAGCGGCGAACGGGUGAGUAACACGUGAGUAAUCUGCCCCUGGCUUCGGGAUAGCCACCGGAAACGGUGAUUAAUACCGGAUAUGACAGACCCUCGCAUGGGGGUGUGUGGAAAGUUUUUCGGCCAGGGAUGUGCUCGCGGCCUAUCAGCUUGAUGGUGAGGUAAUGGCUCACCAUGGCUUCGACGGGUAGCCGGCCUGAGAGGGUGACCGGCCACACUGGGACUGAGACACGGCCCAGACUCCUACGGGAGGCAGCAGUGGGGAAUAUUGGACAAUGGGCGGAAGCCUGAUCCAGCAACGCCGCGUGAGGGAUGACGGCCUUCGGGUUGUAAACCUCUUUCAGUACCGACGAAGCGCAAGUGACGGUAGGUACAGAAGAAGCACCGGCCAACUACGUGCCAGCAGCCGCGGUAAUACGUAGGGUGCGAGCGUUGUCCGGAAUUAUUGGGCGUAAAGGGCUCGUAGGCGGUUUGUCGCGUCGGGAGUGAAAACGCCGUGCUUAACACGGCGCUUGCUUCCGAUACGGGCAGACUAGAGGUAUUCAGGGGAGAACGGAAUUCCUGGUGUAGCGGUGAAAUGCGCAGAUAUCAGGAGGAACACCGGUGGCGAAGGCGGUUCUCUGGGAAUGACCUGACGCUGAGGAGCGAAGGUGUGGGGAGCGAACAGG
rnacentral:rRNA from 1 species